UCAUAGACCCUGCUCAGACAAGCGCGCUUGGGUGUGGGAAUCCAACAGAAAGGGCUCGUUCUCUAUCAGCUUGUUAUGCAAAAGGGAAGUCGGGUCAGAUUUUUUUGGUGCCCUAUAACUCAGGUUGUCAUUGGAUGUUAACGGUUGUGAACCCCGCUGAAGAAGUUGUGCAUUUCAUGGAUCCAUUGAAGAGACGACUCACCACCGGUGAAUGGAAAACUAUUGUGGACAACUCAAUCAAAAUAUACAAUGCGCAAAAAACUAAGAAAGGCAGAAAAAUAGUUACAUGGAAAAAUUUUGCGG